UUAUCACGGGAGACACACGGCGGGUGCUAACGUCCGUCGUGAAGAGGGAAACAACCCAGACCGCCAGCUAAGGUCCCAAAGUCAUGGUUAAGUGGGAAACGAUGUGGGAAGGCCCAGACAGCCAGGAUGUUGGCUUAGAAGCAGCCAUCAUUUAAAGAAAGCGUAAUAGCUCACUGGUCGAGUCGGCCUGCGCGGAAGAUGUAACGGGGCUAAACCAUGCACCGAAGCUGCGGCAGCGAACGUAUCACUUAAAGCGAUUCAGCGGGUUACGAUUGACGGAGCGAAGCGACGUCAAAGCGUAUACAAAGUCGAGUCGGUUUAAGGAUACGUUCGUUGGGUAGGGGAGCGUUCUGUAAGCCCGUGAAGGUGGCCUGUGAGGGUUGCUGGAGGUAUCAGAAGUGCGAAUGCUGACAUAAGUAACGAUAAAGCGGGUGAAAAGCCCGCUCGCCGGAAGACCAAGGGUUCCUGUCCAACGUUAAUCGGGGCAGGGUGAGUCGACCCCUAAGGCGAGGCCGAAAGGCGUAGUCGAUGGGAAACGGGUUAAUAUUCCCGUACUUGGUGUUACUGCGAAGGGGGGACGGAGAAGGCUAUGUUGGCCGGGCGACGGUUGUCCCGGUUUAAGCGUGUAGGUGUGUGUUCCAGGUAAAUCCGGUUCACUUUAACACUGAGGCGUGACGACGAGGCACUACGGUGCUGAAGCAACAAAUGCCCUGCUUCCAGGAAAAGCCUCUAAGCAUCAGGUAACACGAAAUCGUACCCCAAACCGACACAGGUGGUCAGGUAGAGAAUACCAAGGCGCUUGAGAGAACUCGGGUGAAGGAACUAGGCAAAAUGGUGCCGUAACUUCGGGAGAAGGCACGCUGACACGUAGGUGAAGUGAUUUACUCAUGGAGCUGAAGUCAGUCGAAGAUACCAGCUGGCUGCAACUGUUUAUUAAAAACACAGCACUGUGCAAACACGAAAGUGGACGUAUACGGUGUGACGCCUGCCCGGUGCCGGAAGGUUAAUUGAUGGGGUCAGCGUAAGCGAAGCUCCUGAUCGAAGCCCCGGUAAACGGCGGCCGUAACUAUAACGGUCCUAAGGUAGCGAAAUUCCUUGUCGGGUAAGUUCCGACCUGCACGAAUGGCGUAAUGAUGGCCAGGCUGUCUCCACCCGAGACUCAGUGAAAUUGAACUCGCUGUGAAGAUGCAGUGUACCCGCGGCAAGACGGAAAGACCCCGUGAACCUUUACUAUAGCUUGACACUGAACAUUGAGCCUUGAUGUGUAGGAUAG
rnacentral:rRNA from 1 species